rnacentral:lncRNA from 1 species
CCACCUCUCUCCCUCGAAUAGCAGAGGAGGGCAUGGCUGCGGCAACCGCCGGCGCAACCCUCUAGCUCCCCUCUCCCCCUGACCCUCGCCGGCGACCAUCCCCUCCCCCCAACUCCCUCCACGCGUCGCGCUCCUUCUUCCUGGGCUCGGGCCUGGGCAGCCCAGACGCCCGCGCUCCCGCUCCUGGGCACGUGGUGGCACCCGACGCAUCAGCGCCGGCGCGAACCAGCCUGACGGCGCUGCUCCUUGGCGAGAGGGGUCUGCUCCAAUCCUCCACUACGACCCUGUUUGGAUCCUAGGGUUAGAGUUAGAUUGGGUUAGAGUUGAGCUAUCUAACCCUCAAAAAUCCAAACAGGUAGGGUUAGAGUUGGUUAGAUGUAUCUAACCCACCCAAAAACUCUAACCACCCAAGAGGUGCUUUUUUAGGUUAGACUUAGGUGAGACAAAAAAGAAAGAAAAAAAAUUCACAUCCAACCGCACAAGAUCCCUCCCACCAAGCCCGCUCCCGUCGCUCCCUCCCUCCUCACCGUCCCGUCUGCCCCGUCCCAGCCGCGCCCCGCCAGCCGGCCGCCGCGCCGCGCCCUGCCCCGCCCCAGCCGGCUGCAGCACCNGCCCCAGCCGCCGUCUGCAGCACCCCACCCCACGCCGUUCCGCCACAACCACACAACGACCGGCCACACCAAAUCCGACACUGAACAUGGACAAAAGUAGCCAAAUGAUUGGGAAAAAGCAUUUAUUGCCAAUCUAACCCUCUCAUCCAAACACCUCUUGGGUUAGAGUUAGUUCAGGGUUAGUUGAGGGUUAGAAUCUAACUCUAACCUCUAACCCGGUUAGAGUAUCCAAACAGGGCCUACAUCCACACAAAAAAAAAGGUACAAUCUUUCCCCCUGUUUUCAUGGAAUUUUUUCAUUGCAAGUGCAGCAAAUUCAGAAUUUGUUGUGAUUGUGUGUUUCGGAGUGGAUUCAAUGGGUGAUUUCAAAGUUGAAGUAGAUGUUCAGUUCUUCUUGAUGACUGUGAGAACAAUGAUCUUUUGUUUGAACUUUGAAGAAGUGUUGAUCUAAACCAUUAUGUGUCGUUGUUUAUGUUAUCUUAUUUCAAACCAUUAUGUAUCAUUGUUGAAGUGUUGCUUUCAUGUCAAAAUGCUGNNNNNNNNNNNNNNNNNNNNNNNNNNNNNNNNNNNNNNNNNNNNNNNNNNNNNNNNNNNNNNNNNNNNNNNNNNNNNNNNNNNNNNNNNNNNNNNNNNNNNNNNNNNNNNNNNNNNNNNNNNNNNNNNNNNNNNNNNNNNNNNNNNNNNNNNNNNNNNNNNNNNNNNNNNNNNNNNNNNNNNNNNNNNNNNNNNNNNNNNNNNNNNNNNNNNNNNNNNNNNNNNNNNNNNNNNNNNNNNNNNNNNNNNNNNNNNNNNNNNNNNNNNNNNNNNNNNNNNNNNNNNNNNNNNNNNNNNNNNNNNNNNNNNNNNNNNNNNNNNNNNNNNNNGAAAUGCUGCUGAAAUGUUGUUAUAUUGAUGGUUAAUGAUACAAAGUCAGAUUAUGUUGAAUUGGUGAUGUUUUCAUGUCAAAAUGCUGCUGAAAUACUAUCGAAAUGCUGCUGAAAUGUUGUCAAAGUGCUGCUGGAAUGUUCUCUAAAUGCUGCUGAAAUGCGGCUGGAUGAUGCAAAGUAAGAUUAUGUUGAGUUGGUGUUUUUAUGUUCAUUGGCUGUUGAACCCUUGCACUGUGGCUUCUCCUUUUGUUGCUAAAAUGUGUGCAUGGGUUGUGAAGAGGUAAGGGCAUAGAAGUCUUUUUUGGAUGGUGUUAGUCUCAGUUAGGCACUAGUGGUAUUUUGGCUAAAGAAAACUGAAAGUAGUGGCAUUUUAUCAAGUUGGUUUUUCAUAGUGGUAUUUUGGCAAGUUUGGUUUCUCAUGGUGGCAUUCUGGCUCAUAUCAAGCAAAUACCUCUGCUUUCACCCGAUGCAGGAUUGCAGGUUCCUCGACCAACAAAAUUUAUUAUUGGCUAACAAACAGUUUUGAUUUUGACCUGCAAAAACUGAGAUGCAGAGUUAAAAGAAAUGGGGGAAAAGAUAAUACAAAGAAUGAGAAUUAGGAUAGAUAAUACAGUGGUGGUCCCUUCUUCUGAAUUGUCAUUGUUGAGAGAGACUUGAGACAAUUUGAUGGACCAAAUGCAUAUAUGAAUGUUCAACAACAACAACAACAAAGCCUUUAGUCCCAAACAAGUUGGGGUAGGCUAGCAUAUAUGAAUGUUCCUCAAAAUAAAAAAGCACAUAUGAAUGUUGUAUCGUUGAUGUUGGACCUUGCUGGACUUUUUUCUUUUGAAUUUCUGAAUUGUUGAUCAGUGCAUGCCUAUGGUAUCUUGUACUCCCUCCGUCCCAAAAUAAGUGUCUUAAGCUUAGUACAAUUUUGUACUAGAGCUAGUACAAAGUUGAGACAGUUAUUUUGGGACGGAGGGAGUAUAUGGUAAUGAAUUGCUAGUUUUUUAGUAAAGGUCAUGACAUCUUUUUUUUGCACCGAGCCUUGAGCCGGCUUGCGAGCUUGACGAGCUUGGCUUGUUAGAUCUCUGAGUCGAGCCGGGCCGAGCCCUGAGCUUUCUGUCCUGCCCUAGUUGUGUUGUAAUAUUUGCAAAUUUCAAACAUAUUUAGUUAACUCUAAUGCUGUGAGAGACUUGAUUAAGCUAUUCAUAUUGCUCUUUUGGUCAAUAUCGUAUUACUGUGUGAUGUCGAUUUCUUUUGUAGGUGGCCCACUCUAUUAUUUGUUUCUGGCUCAGCCACUGCCUCAGAAUAGUUUAGGACCUGAGAAGUCCUUUACUCCAUUAGGCAAAACAAUGGAGGACUGUGCAGCCACCCCAGUACGCCGCCCUGCCGACCCCUCCUCCCCAUCCCCAACCCCGUCUCCCUUGUCUCUGCGCCAGUGGCGCCCAGCAGCGCAGCGCAACCUGCGCAACCAGUGGUCGCGCCUGCUUGCCGCCAAGACCCGGUGGCUGGCCGCCACCGCCAAUGGCCGCUCCCAUGCUGCUGCGCUCGUCAACGCCAACCUCUCCCAUGGGUUGUCCCCUCUCUGGCUCUGUGUUUCAGCGACGCUUGAGUUUUUGAGAUUUUAGUAUGUAGUUACUGACCGCACCUUGGGCUUGUCACUUUGUCAGUUACAUGCCAGGGAUGGAUUUGGGAGUGCUCAAGGACAUGCCCAGGAUCCGCGACAGGGCGAGCGCCAAAUUGGCCCACAAGGAGGUAGCUACGCUGUUGCCAGGAACUCAGCCAAUCCUCCUCAGCAGCAUGGCUUAAUUUUCUUGUUGAUCCCCUCAUUUUCAUGUUUCUUGCUUGGUUCAGGUGCAGUGCCGUGAGAUGCUUCUAUCAGCCUACAAGGAGAUGGUAAUGCUUUAUACAAAGGCCAUCCUUGUUCAUGUCCUUUUAGUCGGGACCCUGUAAGCCACUAAUGGUUGUUCUGACUUUUGCUGCUCUUCCUAUUUCCUGGUAAUAGGUCUGUGCCGUGUCUGACUUGGUUAAAGCUUCUCAUGCCAUGCGGUGUUUCUCUAAAGUAUCUUCUGGCAGCCCACUAGUCCGAUUUACGGACUGCCAGGAUGAUUUGAAUGAUUUAGGGGAUGGUGGGGGAGCUCCAGUAUACAGAUGGGUGUCCAUGCUAGAAUUUGGUGGGUUACUCACAUUUUUUAAAGCAAAACUGGAUUAAGUUCGAUAAUCUUUAUUUCCCCUUCCUUUAGACAUGGCAUCACUUGAUUUUUAGAGAUUCAGAAAGUUUUGUUCUGAAAUAGUAGGAUUGACAGAUGAACUUUCUUUUCAUUUGUGUUUGGCAUGACAAGAAAUGCAUUCUUCGAAUUAAUUCUGUAUAGUUUGGGAAAUAGCUCCAACUUGGUCAGGAAGUCAAGGGGAGUUUUAUAUAGUUAGAAAAUAAUUUGAAAGUUAUUCAGUGUAGCACUGCCACAUUAGAUCAAGUUGACUGAAUAAAAAUCUUGUUAUAUUCAAAGUGAUUCAUCCAAAAAUUAUUUCUGAAUUAGCUACUCAAGAUCAGAUCUUCUUGAUCCAGCAAGAUACAGCUAAUAUAUUUAUUUGUUUUUAUUCACGAAUUGAUUUCAGAGAACCUUGCCAAAGAGCUUGUUGAGAUGUUUGUUUCAGAGCUACAAUUGAAGGUAUGUUGUCACAUGAUUCUGCUAUGUUUUAGCUUGUGCACUUAGAAAAUGCUUCUUUUUACAUCCCUGUUUCUCCUGAUCUUUUGGAAAAAUCCUGACAGUGGGAAUCAUUUUAAUGUAGAGACUGAUUGUCUUGAACCUCCUGUCAAUUAAAUCAAAAGGAGGUGCAGAUCCUUCUUUAGAAUGGUCGGAUGAGCUAUAUGACGGGGAAUUGUACAAAUUUCAGAGUAUUGGCCUGGGCUCUGGAGACAGCUUCCCACUGCCUGAGAAUUGGAGGGUUGAUGUCUUGCAGGCAUGGCAACCUGGCCAUGCUCCAUCCCAUGAGGUUUUACAGGUAUGGUCCAAUUUUUGCAAUAGUGUUGCAUUUAUUCCUUAGAAACAACUGUCUCUGUCCUGGUGUUUAUAUCUUUAAUUGUUUGUUCGGUGGAGAUGGCAUUAAGCUGGUUCAUGUAAAUAAAGGAUGAGAGCGCCAUCUUUGAAUUAGAUCAAAUGUGUUGCUCAUGUCAGCAUGCUUUCUAACAAGGGUUCUAUCUUUUCGAUUAUUAUUUUACAGGUUUAUUUAACCUCUUGGCUUGCUAAUGUGAACAUCAAGACGAGUAGGUAAUUAUGUCAUCUGCUUUAGCUUUUGGAUUUAACAACCUAUAAGGAUACCCGAAUUUGCACCUUGAAUUUCGAAAAUAAGCUGUAUCGUAUAGUUUUGGUGAGACUGUGAUGGUGCUGACCUCUUGAUUUUAUUUUCAGAAUCGACGAAAUAUUUGAGCUUGUUGGGGAAGAGAUGCAAAUCAAAUUGCGCUGAAAACUUUGAUGCAUGGAAUUUAAGUGAGAACUAUUCGGGAAUGACCCAUCUCCCUUUUGAUGCAUAGAAUUUAAGUGAGAACUAUUCGGGAAUGACCCAUCUCCCUUUCAGAGGCUAUUUUUCCUUAACGGAAGUCAUUUAGGGUAAUUAGCAUGUGUGAUCUGCCCUAAGAAAGAGGGCUCGUCUAAUUUUUCUCAAAUGUAUUACUGUUAUGCUUGAAUUGUCUCCUGGUAGUAUUAAAGAUUUUCUAGGUUUUCCUCAACAACCGAGAAAAGAUUUUCUAAGUUAAUUAAGCAAAGAAAGGUUAAAACCACAAGAAAACCAUCUUAUUUGCACAUGGGACUGAGGACAUUUGAUUAGCCCAUCCCAUGAGUGUAAUCCUUAAGCUUGUUGCUUCCGGCCAUCAUUUCUUGGGACGUUGGUCUAGGUUGACGUACAGUAUUCGUUUUCAGCUUAUUCCUGGUUACAUUGAAAUCUGUUGGUUUUAGGACAUAUAGAUGAAAUCCGUUGUUUAUAUUAUUGUUUUGUGAGGGAAAAUCCGUUGUUUAUAAGAGAUGUGUGUGUGUGACAGUGUCUAUCAGUCAGGAUGACAGGUUUGCUGCCUGCUUUUUGGUGCAUGGAUGGUAGCUCUUUUUUCUUUUCUUUUUUGAGAAUAAGUACAUGGAUGGUAGCUGAAGGCUGAAGCAAGUAAACACUGUCCCUGGGCUGCAUACAGUUACCCAGGCCCACCAAUUUGUGCAACAGGGCUGAGCAUGAGCCCACCAAUUUGUGCAACAGGGCUGAGCAUGAGCCCACCAAUUNNNNNNNNNNNNNNNNNNNNNNNNNNNNNNNNNNNNNNNNNNNNNNNNNNNNNNNNNNNNNNNNNNNNNNNNNNNNNNNNNNNNNNNNNNNNNNNNNNNNNNNNNNNNNNNNNNNNNNNNNNNNNNNNNNNNNNNNNNNNNNNNNNNNNNNNNNNNNNNNNNNNNNNNNNNNNNNNNNNNNNNNNNNNNNNNNNNNNNNNNNNNAGCAUGAGCCCACCAAUUCCUAAACGUCUUGCGUCUCUGUCUCUGGUUGACAUCCCAGACUCUGCAACUGCUGAUUUCAGAAUCUGCUCGUGACUAAUUUGUUUCCGGACAGGUCAAAUCUCUGCCAGUGUCCGAGUUCUUAAUAUGUGCCCACCUGCGUGUUCCUCUUUUUUUUUUUUUUUUUUGCGGGAUUGGGGAAGGUAUGUAUGGCUUCUCUCAGCCCUUGUUGUGGGUGGUGGUGCUGCCGUGCCGAUGCCUCGUUUCCAGCAGCACUCUUCUUCCCAUCACCAACUUUGCUCCAGGCCACAGAAUAGUGCAAGCCAGUGCAAAAAAUGCCAUGAAUGAGCAAUUUAUCAGUGCUCGCCCAGGGGCUGAUGCUAACAUAGCAGAAGAGACAAGAGAGGAGCCCCCGCUUAUUAGCAACUUUUAUUGUUGUUAGCACAUGAUGAUUGGCUUGGCUGGAGUCAGGAACAGCGCACAGCACAGGACCCCCAAAGCUGUUUUAAAACCUGGCCAACGUGGUACGUGCCCAUGCCGCCACCGUGGACGUCCGGACGAAGGAAACAAUCCAGGUGCCUGCCAGCUGCAGGCCCUUGCCCUGUUCCAUUCCAUUCCAUUUAAAGAGAGGCGUACUUACUAGAAAAAGAAAUUGAAUGUCCACAUGAUCACAUCCCUGUUCCCGGGACACUGGUCAACCAUGUGGCUCCUGACCUGCAGCGUCUUUGUGAAUAAAAAUGAAGACACUUUGGCUCCUCCUCCUGUUGGUGACAGCCUAGUUUCUCUCUCCGUUUCUUUUCCCCUGGGAAUGGGAAGGAUGCCUCACAUGACCAGCCACGUCAGUGAGACGCAGAGACAGGCAGGGGACACAUUAUUCUGUUCCGUGGGCGUGGGGGAGAAUGAUGCCAAUGCCAUGCCGGACGCGGCGGCCAGCGGCUGUGGCAACGUGCGAUCCGUGUCACGGGCGGCUGGUCAAUCGGGCCGCGCAGGUGGAGUACAAGUAGUAAUCAAUCAAUACCCUGUGACUGACUGCGAGAAAGAGAAUGUCGUUGGUUCCCUUGUCUCCACUUGGGGAUCUAGUAUCUAUGUGGCCCUUUCCUUUCCGAUGUUCGUCGUACUUAUAUAUACUACUAUAACUACUGGAGUACUAGUAUAGUCCACUCGAUAUCGCAUCAGGUCCAGCCAGCCACGAGUGCACCGGUGGCACUUGCCUUGCCCCUGAUCCCCUGGCCUGGGGUGUCAUUGUCCAGGUGCCAUGUCUGUCCUGGUCUCGGUCGUCAUCAUCGGAAAGUGCGGCACGCACGGACACGUACGGGGGCGAGAAUCCGGCCCUUGUUUAUGUGGGGGAAGGGAAAGGGAAGUCACGGCUGCUGCAGGGUGUCCAUGUCAGCUUGAAAAGGCCCGGCCAACUCAAGUCAACCUCAGCCCUCAGGCUUAGCCAGCCGUUCUCCUGUCUUGUUUUAAUUCUGGAGGAGAGAAAGGAGGUUCCCAUCCAGCAAAAGGCUGAUAUUAUUUGAUCCUCUCACGAUUCGAGCUAAGUGAGUGAGUGACGCAAAGUACAAAAAGGGCGUGCUCAUGAUGUGACCAUAUCAAAUUAAUGGCCCACUUUUGCUUGCAUUUAUACAACGCACGCACGCACGCACGCAUAAAGGAAAGCAUCAGCGUUCAGCAGUGCUGACCAAUAGCGUGGCAGUUCAAGGUACAGUUCUACACUUGUAGUAGUACUACUGGUAUAGAUAGAAAGGAAAGGCUGUUCGAUCGUUCGGUCGCUUUACCUUAUCCGUCCAAGAAGCUUGGAGCGAGCAGGGCUGUGACUGGGCAUGAUCCAGCCCGUGCAUGCAUGUGACGUUGCUACCUCCACCACGUACGUCUGGCAGCCAGUCUGACCCUCCUGGUGUCGUUGUGCUGCAUGCUGACUAGCUCGCAGGCAGGCAGCCGACACGAGUGGGCGCUCCUGGCCGGAUAUAUAGGGCAACGCAACGAACCGGUCACCUUCCUUCCUUCCUACCUUCCUUCCUUACAACGUGUGCAGUGCAGUGCAGCUGUGGCCCUGUGCUCGCGACUGCAACGGCUGCUUGUCCUCUGCUGCUACUUUUGUGGCCUUGCUCCUGCUCGGGCCGCUCGCAGUUAAGCAAGGAACACAGCCUGCCACGCCCUGCACGCAUCACCACCCCAUGUCCUGUACCAACUGACCCAGCGUGUGGAGUGGAGGGGCACACUGCAUGCCUGCUUCUCAUUCUGCCGCCUCUUUGGCAUACGUGGACUAGCUAACAGUGCCAGUGGCAGCGGCAGCGGCAGCGGCAGGGAAGGAAUGUUCCAAAGACGGCCGGCCCCAACGGCCGGGUGCUGCUGCUGCUGCUCCACUAGGACAGGAUAUAUAGCAUAGUCCCCAAUGCCAUGGCAUGUGACGGCAGUACGUGCGUGCGUGCGUGCGAUACAUUUGAUGACGAGAUGGAAAGGGCUGUACUUUAUACUACCAGCAAGGGGGUGCCCACCGGGAACAGCACGUGUAGCAGGAGGAAUGAAUGGAUGAUGAUCGUGUCAUCAUAAUAACUCCUCCUCCUCCUCCUCUUGGUACCUUCUUUAACAGACCGUCUACACGGACGGCUUCACGUCCUUCUGUUAAGGCAGGCGUCCAUCGGCACUUUCAACUUGGGACGAAGGUAGGGGGACUAGGCUGCAAUAGGGAAGGUGAGCGAUGGCCAGUGGCGAAUCCAGCUCGAUAUGACAGGAUGGUCCAACACUGUAAUUCUUUAUUAAAAUAAAUCAUGUUUAAUUUUUUUUCUAUGAUAUAUAGCCUACGGGAAAAUUUCAGGAUGGUCCAUGGACCAUCAUGUCCAUCCUCUAGUUCCGCCACUCGCGAUGGCCAUGGUGUCCUAGGGUAGAACUACGUAUGUUUGAUAUAUUUGUCCCUAGAUGAAACUUAAAAAAUAAGUACUACAGUACGUUUGUGGCUCCCUCUAACACCAUACGAGCAUUGCUCAUUUAUUUUCUAGGUGCGGUGAUGUUAUAUAUACAUAGGGUUUUUGGCGGCGCCAAGUGGAGCAUCAGAUCGUCUUGCUUGUUUCUCUCUAUGCUUUUGUUGUGCCACUUUGCGCGCUAGUCUGAAUCCAACGAAAGCAUUGAGAAAAUACUUUUGUGGCUAUCCUACGUUGGAUGGUAUGCAGUUGUGUGGUCAGAAAUAACGGAUGUCCCGGACAAACUUUUAACUAGAACAGUGAACGGUGGGUGCAAGAGUUGUUGUCAACAAAGGGAGUUGAUGUCAUGCCCCAAGCCAUGGCCUGUGUGGCCUGAGACCUCACCACGUCCUUGGCAAUGUGGACACUAAAAACAAUGAAUAUAUAUUUUAAGACCAAGUGGAUUUGGUCGCCAAUUGAGUUGACAUGUUAGUACUGUGCCUUUCGAAUUAUGUGAGGAUAUGCAAAAAAGAUGACGUUAGUGAAUUGUUGCAGGCCGCGGCCAAAAUUCCGCAUAAGAGUGUGAUUCCCGAACGGCGAUUGUGGACGUCGUGGACGGCUGCGAAUGCGGAAUGGCGAAGUUGGCGAUUAUGGCAUGGAUCAUUCAAAAGUGUUGGGUGGUUUGUUCAACUCUCUUCGGUCCUCUUAGAAAGUCUGUGAGUUGACGCAUGCUCGCCCUAUGAGAUGUAACAUUCUCUUUCCUAUGCUAUCACCGUGUCUUUUGUGCAUGGUGUUGAAUUUGAUGGUCAGUGGUGGAAUCUAACCGCAUCGUGCUACAUAAGAAAACAAUAAACAACAGAGUUUUCCUUUUAAUUAGACCAUGGGAGUGAUCAAUAUCUAGUUAUCUAUAUUCCGGUUGUAGUUGCGGGAAAUCUGUUGUGCCUUCUAGCAUAAAACUUGAUAAACCUAUAUCCCUCCCAAUAUUGUAUGCACAUGUAAAGAUAAUGUAAGGGUGAUAUUCUUCUAACGCGUGACAAGAUGGACAACAUGCCACUUACCUAUGUUGAGUAUGUAAAGUCAAUGGGAGAUUUGUUAUGGUGGGAUUCUUUGAAAAUGCACUACAACCACAUGCCACAAAAAUUAACCCAUGUGUUUUCAUGACAAUAAUUAGAGUCUUCCCUAUACUUUCUCUCCAUAAACACUUGUUCUUUCCUUACUUUUGAUCCACAUGUUCAACAUUUAACAUUUAAGUAUGCAGAUACAUUUGUGCCCGUCAAUUAUCUUGCUCAAGGUAUUGUUUUGAGAGCUCGAACUUUCUUCGGAGUGAAAAACUAAGAUAUUGGAUUAGGCGAUGACGAUGCUUGUGCACUGUUUCUUUCUUAAAGGCGUCGCUUUUGGAGACCUUUUAUGUUUUACACGUGUUGUCUUUGGUGGUGGUUUGUGUGCUGGUGUUGGAAGAAGUUAAUCAUUGUGGAGAGGACUUUUUUUUCUUUUUGGUUUGCAUGUAUCCUGGAUGUCUUGAGACAUCUUGUUGGUGCAAAGGCUGGGAGUAAUUGGCAUCUUUGUGAUAUUAAUAUAUUCCCCUCUUCAAAAAAAGUACACAGAUACACAACUCAUCAAAUACAACCAAAUCUUGCAAGUGCAAAUAGAGUGAUUUAUUUACUCUGCUUAUACCAAGCAUUUUACCUAGUUGAUUAGCCAUUGGUAAGCAUGUAAAUGUAAAAUACAUUAUGAUGCAUUUGCCUUUUUUGCAGGUAACAUCAUGUAUACUCUCUUGAUUAACGUAAAUACGCGUACAUUGUCUUUAUGUGGUUAACGAGUGGAAUACUUCACCCAUAAAAAUGCUAAAAAUGUUGUCUAAUGAUAAUGCAAGCACACAUGACAAUGUAUGUUACCAAAACGACAACACACCACCUGUCUCCAACCCUUACAACCACAAUAAUGACAAUACAUCAUUUAUGACUAGCCCAAACCUCCACGAAAACGAUAAUACAAAAGUAUACCACCUAUGGACACACACUAAAUGGUGCCUCACACUCCAACUACGAGCGCGUAACUCAUAUGACACCUGGUAGAUCAUGCGGAAAAUGCAUCCGAGGAAUAUUAAAACCAUGUACAUCAUGGACAUACAUCGCACACUGCUACUUAAAGUUAAAGAAACUUAUCGAACCACCAUCUCACAACUUAUCCCCACCAUCAACAUAAUACCCAUCUAUGCCUUACCCCAUGCCCCUCAAUAUAAAUUGACGACUAGGGCGCAAGAUAGGUCUUGCCUUGUGUUGUACCCCUCUACCCUGGUUCUAUGGCGGCGUGGUUAGGCGGCGAAGAAGAUAAGGCUAGGCAGCUCAUCUAGGAUAGAGAGAGGGCUCGUCCUUGGUAAUCCUAAAGUAAUUGGGAAAGGAAGCGAGAAGAGGAAGUGGGUUGGGAGUUGUGGCAUCAAGUCUACGCCCUUCUUCUUGAACGGAUUUCUCAACAUCUCGAGGUAUAAAAUCCAUCUCUAUUUUUUGGGGGGUGGGGAUCCAGAUCUAUUUUUUAGUGUAGAUUCAGAUCUAUUUGAUCUUAACAUGGUAGACCUCCCUAGAUGCCAAUCUAAAAGUGUUGAUUUGCCUUCUUUUGCAAUGAGUUUCAUGCCAAUUUUUCACGUUUGCGACUUGUUGUCAGGAUAAAAUAUGUAUUGAUGGUUAUGUGUAGGUAUUUGUACAUAUAAUCCACUAAAAUCAUGGAUUGUGCUCACAAAAAAGACAUGUAGAUUAUGACAUCUAUGGCAUACCUUGUCUAUAGUAUCAUGAAUCGAGGAUGUCAUACUUGUUUGGGCGGUAGGUUUCAAUUCAUCAGUGUCUUUCUUCUGUAGCUAACUUCUUGGGCUUAUAUUGAUUAAUGAUUGAUGUUAUGUGAACAACUAACCCAUUUUCCUCUUUCAUCAAUAAAAACUAGGUAAAACCAAAUCCGUUAUACAUUGUGUUGGUUAUGCCAAUCCAGCUGGUCAUUCUAUUACACUUUGUAUGAUAUUAUUGUAUUUACUUGUUAAAAUACU